GCAGUCGAGCGGACAGAAGGGAGCUUGCUCCCGGAUGUUAGCGGCGGACGGGUGAGUAACACGUGGGUAACCUGCCUGUAAGACUGGGAUAACUCCGGGAAACCGGAGCUAAUACCGGAUAGUUCCUUGAACCGCAUGGUUCAAGGAUGAAAGACGGUUUCGGCUGUCACUUACAGAUGGACCCGCGGCGCAUUAGCUAGUUGGUGAGGUAACGGCUCACCAAGGCGACGAUGCGUAGCCGACCUGAGAGGGUGAUCGGCCACACUGGGACUGAGACACGGCCCAGACUCCUACGGGAGGCAGCAGUAGGGAAUCUUCCGCAAUGGACGAAAGUCUGACGGAGCAACGCCGCGUGAGUGAUGAAGGUUUUCGGAUCGUAAAGCUCUGUUGUUAGGGAAGAACAAGUGCAAGAGUAACUGCUUGCACCUUGACGGUACCUAACCAGAAAGCCACGGCUAACUACGUGCCAGCAGCCGCGGUAAUACGUAGGUGGCAAGCGUUGUCCGGAAUUAUUGGGCGUAAAGGGCUCGCAGGCGGUUUCUUAAGUCUGAUGUGAAAGCCCCCGGCUCAACCGGGGAGGGUCAUUGGAAACUGGGAAACUUGAGUGCAGAAGAGGAGAGUGGAAUUCCACGUGUAGCGGUGAAAUGCGUAGAGAUGUGGGAGGAACACCAGUGGCGAAGGCGACUCUCUGGUCUGUAACUGACGCUGAGGAGCGAAAGCGUGGGGGAGCGAACAGGAUUAGAUACCCUUGAUAGUCCAC
rnacentral:rRNA from 1 species